rnacentral:misc_RNA from 1 species
GAUGAAGAACGUAGCGAAAUGCGAUAAGUAAUGUGAAUUGCAGAAUUCAGUGAAUCAUCGAAUCUUUGAACGCAUAUUGCGCUCUCUGGUAUUCCGGAGAGCAUGCUUGUUUGAGUAUCAGUAAACACAUCAACUCCCUUUUCUUUUUUGAAAUUGGAGCUGGACUUGAGUGAUCCCAACGCUUUCUUCCAAGAAAGUGGCGGGUUGCUUGAAAUGCAGGUGCAGCUGAACUUUUCUCUGAGCUAUAAGCAUAUCUAUUUAGUCUGCCUAAAAAACAGAUUAUUACCUUUGCUGCAGCUAACAUAAAGGAGACUAGUUCUUGUGCUGACUGAUGCAGGAUUCACAGAGACAGCUUCGGCUGACUUUGUAAACUCGAUCUCAAAUCAAGUAAGACUACCCGCUGAACUUAAGCAUAUCAAUAAGCGGAGGA